rnacentral:tRNA from 1 species
GUUCUGGUGGCCGAACAGUUAGGCACUCAGCUGCUAACUGAAUUGCUGGUGGUUCUAACCUACCCAGACACU